rnacentral:tRNA from 1 species
UGUCUCAAUGGUAAAGAAUCUGCUUGCAGUGCAGGAGAUCCGGGUUCAACUCCUGG